AACGAACGCUGGCGGCAUGCCUAACACAUGCAAGUCGAACGAGACCUUCGGGUCUAGUGGCGCACGGGUGCGUAACGCGUGGGAAUCUGCCCUUGGGUUCGGAAUAACAGUUAGAAAUGACUGCUAAUACCGGAUAAUGUCUUCGGACCAAAGAUUUAUCGCCCAGGGAUGAGCCCGCGUAGGAUUAGCUAGUUGGUGAGGUAAAGGCUCACCAAGGCGACGAUCCUUAGCUGGUCUGAGAGGAUGAUCAGCCACACUGGGACUGAGACACGGCCCAGACUCCUACGGGAGGCAGCAGUGGGGAAUAUUGGACAAUGGGCGAAAGCCUGAUCCAGCAAUGCCGCGUGAGUGAUGAAGGCCUAGGGUUGUAAAGCUCUUUUACCCGGGAAGAUAAUGACUGUACCGGGAGAAUAAGCCCCGGCUAACUCCGUGCCAGCAGCCGCGGU
rnacentral:rRNA from 1 species